rnacentral:rRNA from 1 species
AUUGAACGCUGGCGGCAUGCCUAACACAUGCAAGUCGAACGGGGGCAGCAAUGCCCUAGUGGUGGACGGGUGAGGAAUACGUAGGAACCGGCCCACGAGUGGGGGACAACCUGGGGAAACCCAGGCUAAUACCGCAUACGCUCGCGAGAGGAAAGCGGGGGACCUUCGGGCCUCGCGCUGGUGGACGGGCCUACGUCCGAUUAGCUUGUUGGUGGGGUAAAAGCCUACCAAGGCGACGAUCGGUAGCUGGUCUGAGAGGAUGAUCAGCCACACUGGGACUGAGACACGGCCCAGACUCCUACGGGAGGCAGCAGUGGGGAAUAUUGGACAAUGGGCGCAAGCCUGAUCCAGCAAUGCCGCGUGGGUGAAGAAGGCCUGCGGGUUGUAAAGCCCUUUAAGCGGGGAGGAAAGCCGGGGGGUGAAUAGCGCCUCGGGGUGACGUUACCCGCAGAAGAAGCACCGGCUAACUACGUGCCAGCAGCCGCGGUAAU